rnacentral:rRNA from 1 species
AGCGAACGCUGGCGGCAGGCCUAACACAUGCGAGUCGAACGAAGCCUUCGGGCUUAGUGGCGGACGGGUGAGUAACACGUGGGAACGUACCUUUUGGUUCGGAACAACUCAGGGAAACUUGAGCUAAUACCGGAUGAGCCCUUAGGGGGAAAGAUUUAUCGCCGAAAGAGCGGCCCGCGUUAGAUUAGCUAGUUGGUGAGGUAAAGGCUCACCAAGGCUACGAUCUAUAGCUGGUCUGAGAGGAUGAUCAGCCACGCUGGGACUGAGACACGGCCCAGACUCCUACGGGAGGCAGCAGUGGGGAAUCUUGCACAAUGGGCGAAAGCCUGACGCAGCCAUGCCGCGUGAAUGAUGAAGGUCUUAGGAUUGUAAAAUUCUUUUACCAGGGACGAUAAUGACGGUACCUGGAGAAAAAGCCCCGGCUAACUUCGUGCCAGCCGCCGCCGUAAUAC